rnacentral:ncRNA from 1 species
AGGGUAGAGGCGCGAAGCUUAUCAGUAGUAUCGUGGAGAUUCAGGAAGUCGUAGAGCCGGUAUAAAAGGAAGUUUCGCCGAAGUCUGUUUUUGUCCUGCAAAAGCAGGCUGGGGCUGUAUCAAAUAGGUACAGGACUGUCAACAGCUACAACC